GACAGAGGUGCCAAGCGUUAGGCGGAAUCACUGGGCUUAAAGCGUGUGUAGGCGGAUGCCUAAGUCCCUUGUGAAAUCCCACGGCUCAACCGUGGAACGGCUGGGUAUACUGGCGGUCUUGAGCCAUCCAGGGGCAGUCGGAACAGACGGUGGAGCGGUGAAAUGCGUAGAUAUCGUCUGGAACGCCGAAGGUGAAAACAGACUGCUGGGGAUGCGCUGACGCUGAGACACGAAAGCCAGGGGAGCGAACGGG
rnacentral:rRNA from 1 species